rnacentral:tRNA from 1 species
CAAAAUAUAGCUUAGAAAAAGCAUCCAACUUACAAUUGGAAGACGCCGAUGAAAUAUCGGCCUUUUUGA